rnacentral:rRNA from 1 species
UACGGAGGAUCCAAGCGUUAUCCGGAUUUAUUGGGUUUAAAGGGUGCGUAGGCGGCUUAUUAAGUCAGGGGUGAAAGACGGUGGCUCAACCAUCGCAGUGCCUUUGAUACUGAUGAGCUUGAAUACACUUGAGGUAGGCGGAAUGUGACAAGUAGCGGUGAAAUGCAUAGAUAUGUCACAGAACACCAAUUGCGAAGGCAGCUUACUAAGGUGCAAUUGACGCUGAGGCACGAAAGCGUGGGGGAUCAAAACAGG